UACGGGGGGGGCAAGCGUUGUUCGGAAUUACUGGGCGUAAAGGGCUCGUAGGCGGCCAACUAAGUCAAACGUGAAAUCCCCAGGCUUAACCUGGGAACUGCAUCCGAUACUGGAUGGCUUGAAUCCGGGAGAGGGAUGCAGAAUUCCAGGUGUAGCGGUGAAAUGCGUAGAUAUCUGGAGGAAUACCGGUGGCGAAGGCGGCAUCCUGGACCGGCAUUGACGCUGAGUGAGCGAAAGCCAGGGGAGCAAACGGG
rnacentral:rRNA from 1 species